ACUGGCACGGGUAUCUACUUGCCCCUACCAUUUUCAGAGGAGGAACGGGUCGGGAAGGGCUUCCACUGUAUGGAGGUCAGCCCCACUCUUCCGAAGUCGUCCCGCUCUCAGCUACUACAGCCUCUGUUUUACAGAGGCGACCAGAGUCAGAGCUGUAAGGAACCCUCUCACCAUCCAGCAGAGAUACUCUGGAUUUUCCUGAUGCCCCUGUUGGUUCUCCUGCCUGUCAGAUCACUCCAACCAGUUGCCUUUGGUGGAUCAUCAUCUGUGUCUACACUGUCCCCUCCCUGCAAGUGUACAUCUGGGCUGAGUUCUCUCCUCUCUCUACACAUUCCCUCUGGGUGACCUUAGCUCCCAUGAAUCCAAUCAUCUCUAGGCAAAUGACUCGCAAGCCUAUAUGUUCAGUUCUUGUCCUCCUAAGUUCCAGUCUCGCAUCACCACCUGCCUAUUGGACAUUGGAUUUCCUGGAGGCCCGGAAACAUCAUCCCACCUUUCUCUGAGGCUACCCCUCUGCUCGUCGCAGGUUCAGAAACUCGGCGGUAGCUUUGAUUCUUUCGUCUCCCCCUCCACGUCCCGUUAGUUGCCAUCUUGUCAUUUUACCUCCUCUACUUGCGUUAUACCCAUCCCCUUCUCUCCACUACAGUGCCACGGCUCCAAUUCAGGCUCUCAUCCCCCUUUGUCUGGAUACUGCCGCAGUUCCUAAUGAAUCUCUUCACUUCCCGUCUCUGCCCUCUCUAAUCCACCCUUCGCAGAGUCAGCUGCCAAAGAGAUUUCCCUAGCGUGCAAAUCUGACCCAUUGCACUUCAUUGCCUAAGAAAUUCCAGUGGCUCUCCAUUGCCUUUAGGUUCAAACACAAACGCUUCCCUUUGGCAUCUCAAGCCCUUCAAACAUAGCUCCACCUUUUUAGCCCUGAUUAUCAGACUUUACCCUUUUCGUGCACUUUACAAUCCAGGCAAAUGGACCUUCUUGCUGUUCCUUGGACACCCCACCCUUCUGUCUCUGCAGAUGUGCAUGUGUUCCCCAUGUCUGCUCCAUAGGCCCAGUUCAUCCUCGCUUUGAACCCCAAGUUUUCUUCUGAGCAGGGUCCGUCGCCUUUGUGCAGCUGCUCCUGUUCCCCUCGCUACCAUUGCCUUGUCCCCUAAAUCAUUUUAGUCACUUUUCCAAAAUGUCUGUUUACGUGUCUUUCAAUACGUUGCCUCCCCUGACACGUGAGGGCCCUGAUGGCAGGGAUUAUUUUAUUUUUGUCUCUAUGCCUAGUCAAGUGCCUGGCCCAUAGUAGGCAAUUGAUGAAUGUAUGCCAGUUGCUUGAUUGGUAUGCCAGGUAAAUGAUGGCUUCUGUCCCCUUGUGUCUUGGUGAGGCCUUCAGAAAUAGAGCUGAGAAUCAAAGGCAGGUAGUGCUCCUGGGUCUGCAAGAGCCAGGGAAUGCCAUUGCAAGAGACUGUGCCUUGCCCAGGACAUCCAGAACUUUGCCCAACAGAGUGCCCUGUCUGGGAACCAACGGCUGUUCCAUAAUCAUAGUUCCUAUCACAUGAAUUCUUUUUUAAAAACGAGCCAACAAGACAGGAAAUACAAAGGCCGUUGGACUGCGAGUUGAGACUAACCUCUAGUCUUGAUGAUGCCACUAGAUAGCUUGGAAACCUUCAGCCAAAGCUUUGCAAGGUGUGAUUCCUUCUGUAAAAAUAGCAGAUCACCAGUAAUUCAGGAGAACUGAAACCUGUUGAGUAAGGAGGAAGCUGGCAAGGUUUGUUGGCCUGCCUUCUCCAUUAACUACUUCACAAUGUACUUAAUACUAUAUACCAUCUUUUCUGGCUGAACUUUUGUUGAAGGUAGAAGAGUAAAAUGAAAAUAACCUGGAUAAGAUUCUUUUUCAAAAUAAAUGUCCUAAACUUAACUGAGCUAAAAGCA
rnacentral:lncRNA from 1 species